ACACCNAGUUGUUCGAAGUGNCGUGCUUAUUACUUGGUGUCCGUUUUCUGACACUCUGAGGUCGCGUAUAAUGCGUGGUGGUAGCAUANUACAGGUAUUAGAUUACCCCGUGUUAGUNCACGCCGUUAAACGAUGAUAUGCCAGCCNGUUGGUCCUUGCUUUCAGGUCAGUGGCGACCGCUAACGCAUUAAGCAUUCCGCUCUGGGGAGUACGNUCGCAAGUAUUUAUACUCUNAGGUAAUUGACGGGGGUCCCGCACAAGCGUUGGAGCAUGUGGUUUAAUUCGAAGCAAUCUGCUGCAUGAACCUUACCAUCCCUUGACAUGGCAUGUUACCUCGAGAGAUCGGGGAUCCUCUUCGGAGGCGUGCUACACAGGUUGCUGCAUGUGCUGUCGUCAGCUCGUGUCGUGAGAUGUUUGGGUUAAGUCCCGCAACGAGCGCAACCCACGUCCUUAGGUUGCCAUCAUUCAGUUUGGGCACUCUAGGGAGACUGCCGGUGAUAAUCCGUCGAGGAAGGUGUGGAUGACGUCAAGUCCUCAUGGCCCUUACGGGAUGGGCUACACACGUGCUACAAUGGCUGGUGACAGUGGGAUCGCGAAUNCCGCGAGNUUGAGCAAAUCCCCAGAAAUGCCGUCUCAGUUCGGAUUUGCACUCUGCAACCUCGCNGGUGCAUGAAGGCCUGUAUCGUCUAAGUAAUUCGUGGUAUUCGAUGCACUGGCUCCAAGCUAGAUAGCC
rnacentral:rRNA from 1 species